ACGGAAGGCAGCAGUGGGGAAUAUUGGGCAAUGGGCGAAAGCCUGACCCAGUAACGCCGCGUGAAGGAAGAAGGUCUUCGGAUUGUAAACUUCUUUUAUGAGGGACGAAGGACGUGACGGUACCUCAUGAAUAAGACACGGCUAACUACGUGCCAGCAGCCGCGGUAAUACGUAGGUGGCAAGCGUUAUCCGGAUUUACUGGGUGUAAAGGGCGCGUAGGCGGGGAUGCAAGUCAGAUGUGAAAUCUAUGGGCUUAACUUAUAAACUGCAUUUGAAACUGUAUUUCUUGAGUGCUGGAGAGGUAGAUGGAAUUCCUUGUGUAGCGGUGAAAUGCGUAGAUAUAAGGAAGAACACCAGUGGCGAAGGCGAUCUACUGGACAGUAACUGACGCUGAGGCGCGAAAGCGUGGGGAGCAAACAGGAUUAGAUACCCUGGUA
rnacentral:rRNA from 1 species